GGGGAAUAUUGCACAAUGGGGGAAACCCUGAUGCAGCAACGCCGCGUGAGUGAAGAAGGUUUUCGGAUCGUAAAACUCUGUUGUUAGAGAAGAACAAGGAUGAGAGUAGAAUGUUCAUCCCUUGACGGUAUCUAACCAGAAAGCCACGGCUAACUACGUGCCAGCAGCCGCGGUAAUACGUAGGUGGCAAGCGUUGUCCGGAUUUAUUGGGCGUAAAGCGAGCGCAGGCGGUUUCUUAAGUCUGAUGUGAAAGCCCCCGGCUCAACCGGGGAGGGUCAUUGGAAACUGGGAAACUUGAGUGCAGAAGAGGAGAGUGGAAUUCCAUGUGUAGCGGUGAAAUGCGUAGAUAUAUGGAGGAACACCAGUGGCGAAGGCGGCUCUCUGGUCUGUAACUGACGCUGAGGCUCGAAAGCGUGGGGAGCAAAC
rnacentral:rRNA from 1 species